ACUACUUUGGCAGAACUAAAGUGUACUGGAUUUAGAAUCCAGAAAUGUGAUAAUAUUACAAGUAGUA
rnacentral:tRNA from 1 species